rnacentral:rRNA from 1 species
CCUACGGGUGGCUGCAGUCGAGAAUCUUCGUCAAUGGGCGAAAGCCUGAACGAGCGACGCCGCGUGCGGGAUGAAGGCCCUUGGGUUGUAAACCGCUGUCGAGGGGGAUGAAGGCUUGAAGGUACUCCUUCAAGUUUGACAGAGCCCUGGAGGAAGCACGGGCUAAGUUCGUGCCAGCAGCCGCGGUAAUACGAACUGUGCGAACGUUAUUCGGAAUCACUGGGCUUACAGGGUGCGUAGGCGGCUUUUCAAGUCAGGUGUGAAAGCCCCCGGCUCAACCGGGGAACUGCGCUUGAAACUGAAAGGCUCGAGUCAGCUAGAGGUACACGGAACUUCCAGUGGAGCGGUGAAAUGUGUUGAUAUUGGAAGGAACACCGGAGGCGAAAGCGGUGUACUGGGGCUGGUCUGACGCUGAGGCACGAAAGCCAGGGGAGCGAACG